rnacentral:rRNA from 1 species
GACGAACGCUGGCGGCGUGCCUAAUACAUGCAAGUAGAACGCUGAAGGAGGAGCUUGCUUCUCUGGAUGAGUUGCGAACGGGUGAGUAACGCGUAGGUAACCUGCCUGGUAGCGGGGGAUAACUAUUGGAAACGAUAGCUAAUACCGCAUAAUGGCAGUUGUUGCAUGACAACUGUUUGAAAGGUGCAAUUGCACCACUACCAGAUGGACCUGCGUUGUAUUAGCUAGUUGGUGGGGUAACGGCUCACCAAGGCGACGAUACAUAGCCGACCUGAGAGGGUGAUCGGCCACACUGGGACUGAGACACGGCCCAGACUCCUACGGGAGGCAGCAGUAGGGAAUCUUCGGCAAUGGACGGAAGUCUGACCGAGCAACGCCGCGGGAGUGAAGAAGGUUGUCGGAUCGUAAAGCUCGGUUGUAAGAGAAGAACGAGUGUGAGAGUGGAAAGUUCACACUGUGACGGUAUCUUACCAGAAAGGGACGGCUAACUACGUG